CUGAGCCACCUCGUCUUCGAUUUUCCAGUCUGUUAUUUUGGUGGUGAUCUAGAUUGAAGAGAUUACAUUUCCAGGAGGGUUAGGAGACUAUUGAGAUGUGCCAUCAGCGAUUUUUUCACAAGUAUAUACUUAUGAUUAAACCGCAGUAUAGUGGAUUAAUCUUUUGUGUUUGGAUUCAUGCCGCUUUAGGUAGAGCCAUGGCAGGGUGAAUCUUUUCUUGUAUGUCCUGGUGGAAUAUUGAAUUUCGAAUGCAUCAUCUGAAUACAUAAAAUACACGUGAGCUGAAAUAAAUACUUAUGUUGCAAUUUAGAAAGUAUAAAAUUGACGGCUAUUAAGUUCUAGUUAUAAAUUAUAUAUUCAUUCAUGACAAUAUAUUAGACACAAAUGAAUAUUGUUGGUAAGAUUGAAAAAGUAAAAAUAAUCGAAAAUCAAGUAGAGAUAAACAUUUUAACGUUAUUCUUUUAUACCAUGUUCCCAUGGAGAGACGAUAUACAAUCGAGACUUUUAAACUGUUUUUUUUUGGACAACUGCUUUUUUUUAUACAUUUAAACUGUUUUAUCAUUUAAUGCUCAAAAUUAUUUUCUCUGCGAUUCCCUCAUUUGCAAUGACUUGCUUCAUGUUCCCUAUAAACAUGUACAAAAUGAUCCAGUCAGCUGUUACGCGUUUCUGGUAAAACUCUAACAUCGGCAAGAAAAAAAUAUGUUGGUUCUCCUGGGAUAAACUUACAAAGCCUAAAAGAAAGGGAGGCUUGGGUUUCAAAAACAUUAAAACCUUCAAUUAUGCCUUACUUGCGAAACUCCCAUAGAAAAUGCUCACAAAUCCAAACUGUCUUCUGGCUUGUGUCCUACUUGGAAAGUAAUGUCAUAAACCUUCCCUUCUUAAAGUCCAACCGUCAAAGUCCUCAUCACAUGGUUGGACAUACAUUUUAGCGGGAAAAAACUUGCUGAUUACCAAACUUGGAAGAACCAUUGGAAAGGAAAUAUAAGUUAAAAUAUGGUCUGACUCCUGGUUCACAACUUCCUCUCGAGUGGUUCUUUUUGGACCCCUCAAGGAGGGUGAUGGCGACAUGUAUGUGUCUGACUUGAUCAACCAAUGAUCCUGCGAGUGGAAUAUGAAGAUUAUUAACAAAAUAUUGCCAGACUUUGUGGAAGAUUUUCUUGCGAUCAAACCAAGCAAAAGACUCUUACAUUUGAUAUCCAACAAACUCUAGAAUCUACUUGACGAAAUCAGGCUACGCCUCUGUUGUCGCAAGUCAAGAGACUGCUCCGAACAGCUCCUCACCACCUAGCUUCUUCAAUUGGUAUAGACCAGUCUGAACCAUCUCUACUCUUCCCAAACUGCAACUCUUCCUCUGGAAGUCGAUACAAAGGGCUCUACCCACGGGAGAUAAUCUCCACAAAAGAGGAAUGUUGCAGAACACUUCAUGUAUCCACUGUGACCUGCUCAAAACAACAAAACACAUCUUUCUCCACUGCGCUUUUGCUUAACAGGUUUGGGAUUUGAUUCCCCUGGCCUCCGAUUUCAAACAAGACACGUGCUUAUCCUUCGUUGAUGCUGCGGAAGAAGCAGUCUUUUGGAAGUGUCUACCGCCGUGCGGUAUUCUGAGUGAUCUCUUCUCCUGGGUGUGUUGGGCCAUAUGGACCACCAGAAACAAACUUAUGUUUGAAACACGCCCGCAUCAGCCAUAGCUACGACUUCAAAGGCCUUGAUAGACGCUAGAAAAUGGACACAGGCUCAAGAACCUCGCACGGCUCUAUCGAGAACGACUCAGAUUCCAGUGCGGCCCCAAUCGAUUCCGCCUGAUGUAGUGACAUGUAACCCUGACGCUGCCAGGAAAAAGGAAUCGUCAGCUGCGGGGCUCACCUGGAUCUUCGACUCCUCCUCUCCUUUGUUUGCUUCCGACGGAUGUCAAUAUCAAUAGACAGUUCCAUCUGCCAUCAUGGCUGAAGGGUUAGCGGUUAGGGGAGCUCUCUCUCACGCUCAACACAUUGGCAUCACCAAAAUCUGGUUUCGUUCAGAUUAUCUAUCGCUCGUCAGAGCUAUAAAUUCGAUUGCAAAGCCGAUGAAUCUCUACGGAGUUCUAUCGGACAUCAAAUCACUAUCAUCAUUUUUUUAUUUCUUUUGUGUUUCUUUCGUCUUUAGAGAGUAAAAUGGGCUUGUAGACAAUCAGUCUAAGGCAUGUCUAUCUCACUCUAUAACAAUUUAGACCUCAUACCAUUAGUUUUUAAUGAAUGAUUGGUUUGAUUAAAAAAAAAACUGCUUUAUCAUUAAAUAAAUUGCAUCUUUGCCCAGGGGCGGAUCCAGGUAAAAAGAGAAUGUGGCACAGGUGCCACACUCAUUUUUACUUUUUCCUUAAUAAUUAACCUAAAUUUAUUUACAUACCCCUAACUUGUAUAUAAAUUAUAUUGAGUGCCCCAUAUUAUUUAAAGUUUUCGGUCCCCCUGUCCUUGCCUUAUUCGCCUUACAGGACAAAAAAAUACAUAUAUGCAAGAUUGUUGUCAGAUAAAUAUUUGAUCAUAUCAACAAUGAAAAAAAACAAGUUACAAAAAAAAAAACAAUGAAAAAAGGACAAGUGGUAUGAACAUUUCGCGUGUUGACUUGGCUUCUUAUUGCCGUCAUCUUCAUCAUUUUGUCCAGUUUGAAAAACAAACGCAGCCCCUAUUGUCGAUUUGCCAUAAAUCUACAACUUGCUAGAAUCCAUUCAAUUCACAGAUCUUAAAAACAUGAUAAUUUUAUAACUAUUGUAGAAGUUAUAUGUAAUUAACUAAUCAAACACACACACAAAUUUAUAGAAAGUGCCACUAAGAGAUCCAUGAUUGGUCAAGAAAACUUAUGCUAAGUUUAGAUAUUUUUAGUUAAAACAUAAAAUAUACCAACUAUCUCAUAAGUUUUGACAAGGAAAGUUGCUGAUUAUUUCAAGAAAUUGAAAUGUAUUGAUGCGUGAAGCAAUGCGGCUACAAUAUAAAUGAAUUCAACAAUUAUAUAGCCACGAUUUGGCAACCUAUAUUUAUAUAUGUUAUAGAUUGACUGCAUUAAAAUAUCUUAUUGGUGGCUAGUCUCAUGGAAUAUUAUAUUUUUAAGAAAUGGAUUAAUUGUUUGGCAUCUCUUAGACUCUGACUUUUCCUAAAACCUCGCCGUGGUUCUUGUACAACAUGUCAUGAAUUAUUUUUAUGAUUUCAAUAUUUCUAGAUAUUUGUUAUCAUCAUGUAUUAUUUUCCAACCAAUAUUUCUAGAUUAACAUAAUUAUUUUCAUUGCUCCUAAACUUAUUUAUUCUGCAAAUGCAAGAUUAAUCUAAUGUACAUAUAUGAUUCAUGCUACAUUAAUCAUGUAUGUCAUAAUGGAAGCUACUGUUCUAGGGAUCUCUUAGUUUGAUAGAGUGAGUUUAAAUACACAAAAAUACGCAACAGAAGGCGACAUGGAGAUAUUCCUUCAACCUCCCACAAUACAUCACUGAAUCAUAGACACGAAUCCACGCAACAGGCUUUAAUCUCUUUGACGCAUGUUAAGACAAUAGAUAUGAGGAUGGUCUCGUGCUAUUGUUUGCAUUCCGAUGAAAAUUUGCAAAACUUUCCGCCUUUAGUUUUACGUGCUUCAAGCUUGCGUAACUUUUAUUCUUCCUUACAAGUUACACCUAUAUGAAUUUAUUGUAAACAUGGUUUUAAAGAUAAAUACAAUUUAUCAUUGUUUUAAUAAAAUAAACACAAAAAAUACUGAGGGAUAGCAAAUGAUUUUAUACUCAAAAGUAAUCCUAUAGAUUAGUACGUAUAAUUUAUGAUGCUGCUGAAGCUUGGUUGUUGGCAAUGUUUACGACUUGAGCAGAACUAAUUUCCUUUUGUUAACAGUGUUAAAAGUAAAUUAACUUUCUUAGAGAGAAAAAAUCUGUUAGCUUUGUUUUACAGAACCUUCCACUUAAUUGAAAAUUAUAUUAGGUUUUUGCAAGUAUGGUGUGUUAAAAAAAAAAGGUUUUGCAAGUAUGGUUUUCGCCUUUUCGGUGAGGGUCUGUCUCCUCGUCGACGAUGGACGUUUUACUUUUCUCAUUUAAGCGAGCCGCUGCCUUUGGGCAUUUCUUCCCUACAUUUGUUCAUAUUCAUUCUCGUAAUGGGCUUUAUAUUCUAGAGUGGGAGUGUUACAAAAAAAAUUCUAGAGUGGGUAUUAUGUAAUACAUGGUUUUGCUCUUGUUAGCAUUUCUGUAUAAUGUAUAAAUUAUAGCAAAAAUAUAUUACUCUUUUCUAAAAGAUGUAUGUUUAUGUGUCCUUACCCAUAUCAACAAAACAUGAUAAAUUUUGAUAAUAAAUGUAUUAUUACCAAACUACCUAUUUUUGCAAUUUUAAACCAAUAGUAUUUUAAAAUACAAUUAAUGUUUUACAAUUCACCAUUAUUAACUUAUAAAUUGUGACCGGGUAAUUGUGGUCGAGUGGUAAAAAGACGGGACUGAAACACGUUUCAGGUUCAAUCUACAUGCUGUGCAAAACUAAGUCACAAUUAUCCUGGUCACCUAACACGAAUAUGAACCUAUGUUUUAAGGUCCAUUUGAAUAUCCAGAGAGAGGGUAGUCUGGACCUCUCCAUAGGUCUGGGAUACCCCAUGUUAAUCAAAAAAAAACUUAUAAAUUGUAUUAAAAACUUCAUCGAUAAACCUUUAAUUUAAAUAUUGAUCUUUUACGAGUAGAGAAAGUAUUAAAUAAGGUAAUGAGUAACUGUUGGUGAUGAAGUCAAUGUUUCUCCGUACUGACCUGGCUUGAGCAUAAAGCAUAUCCAACGUGUGAAGAGCAAGAAGACGGCCACUAAGAAAAUGAAUGAAAACAAGGAAAUAACAUAACUUCAACUGAAGUUUUUUCUCGUUAAAAUGUGUCUCACCUUCUAUAUUCAUACAAAGAGGAAUAGAUAUCUCCACACCCGGAUGAACAUAAACCAAUGCCACACAAAAACAAAGAAAAAUAGAAUUUACUUCUUUGCUGAGUUUGAUCGGUUGAUCACAUAUAAUUAGUUGAUUUAUUAGCGCAGAAGAAUUACCGGGCAAAUCUCCUUUGGCAGAGAACUCACUACAAAACAAUGCAUAAAGAGAUGCAAAGGUCAAGUAAUGGUUUCCUGCCAAUAGAGAUCUUGCCCUGUAAUGCAUUUUCACCUUUGAUACAUCUCAUUCUCCACAAUUGUAACCUGAAAAAUUCAAUGUUUGUAUUUAAAUACAAUCUUGGAGAGAAGCAUAUUCCAUGGUACAAUGCUACUGGAAUGUAAUUAAUACUGAGGUUUUAUUCCGAGAAUGAUCUUUUCUUUUCCAUAUAAUUUCUUAAGGAAUUUUUUUUUCAUGCCACAAGUUUUAUGCUUAGACAUUCCUAAAUAAAGCGCACUACACCACUUUUUCACGAUAUUAGAAUCCGUGGCACACAACAAGUUAAAGUAAAAAAAUCGAACAUGUAUUUAUUUCAGUUCACAAUAUUCAAUCUUUAUUUUUAAUUUAAGGAGUUAGUACCAAUGUAUAUUUCCUAGCAUGCAUGUGCUAAUCUUGAGAGUUAAACAUGGCUUUAUAAGUUUCUUCUAUUUACUACAAUAUAUUAUAUACUGUCAAUUUGUUCAAUUUAGAGAUCUCAGCCCAAUUUGCCUGAUUUGGAAGGGUUUCUACAAGACUAGUUGAGAUGUUUGUGACUUGAAUAAAAUGUGCUUGAGACCACUUGUUUAAGUGUUACAUAUAAAGAACUGACAAUAAAAUAAAAGAAAGUUUAAUUUGGAAAAAGGAAAAGAGACGGUAAGUAAUUAAUUAUUCAAAGUAGAAAGUGAUUCUCGAAAUGGAAGAUCCGUGGGAAUGUUCUUUCUAUUUUAUGAAGUUUCAAAAUGAAGACACAUAAAUUGCAGAAGCUCGAAACUGCAAUUUCCUUGCACUACAUAAUUAUAAUACUAUACAAAUAAAUAUAUACGUUAUAGCUGCAAAAUAAAGUCCAAUCAACUUUGUAAAAGAUUAAAGAUCUAGUUAUGUCGCAAUAUAAAGUACACUAACGCAAUUGACAAUGGAUAUAUAUAGUCAUUACUUUGGAGAUUCUUUCAAAGAUCCGUUCAUUUAAUUAUUUUUUCCUAUUAAAAAGGAAGUAAAAUAUAAUGAAACUGGCAUACUUUGUAUCAUAUUCUUGUAUCACUUUUAAGAUUUGCGAUUUUUUUUGAACAAUGACUCAAGACAAAACGUUCUUACUGGCAUGUAUGUACAGGAUAUUCUUAAGUAUAUCCAACUAUACCGCAGAUCAGAACUCUCAUAUAUUUACCGUUCGCGAAUUGUAACCAUCUUCCGUUAUGCUAAUAAUAAGCGUGCAUGAUAGUGGAAUCCUUAUGAUAUAUACGAGUUCUUGAGAUUGUACAUGAGGUCAAAAAAAGCGAUUUAUACAUUGUCAUCUAUUUUUUUGUUGUUGGGCAAAACAUUGUCAUGUAAAUAAAACUAUAACUUAAAUCAUAUUUGUUUGUAUUUAAAAUAUCAGAAAUUCCUACAUUUAGUUUUAAAUUUCAAGAGUUAAUACAAGAUCGGUUUUGAGCUCCGCCUUGGGGUCAUUAGUCUAUUAUUGUUCUUGUGGUAAGGAAAGAUCGUUGCUAAAAUAAUAGUUGUGAUGCAUUGCUAACACAUUUUUAUGAAAGAAAACUUAAAACAUGUAGAAAUCAAUUUCUGUAUAACGCUUUUAUUUUGGUAAUUAUUCCAAAAGAAUAUAUUUUAUGAGGAGGUUCCGAGCUGGAAUUGAAUUACAAGGAGUUUGUCCACUUGACAUUGCGUUUAGGAUACUGCAUAGUGCAUACAUAUAUGCUCUAAUGAAACAUGGGAUGUGCCACCGAAUAUGCUAAUAUAUAAGUCAUAAUGUGCAUAAAAUUAAACCAUAUACACUCUAUAUAUAGUGUUGCUGUGGUCAAAAUUUAGUUAUAACUCAAAAUAAAACGAAACAAUAGUAAGGAAAGAUCGAUAGUUGGGAAGAGAGGAAGAUGAUGCAUGGUUGAGUUACAGGGCAAAUACUCCAUUGGCAGAUAGUUUUCACUACAUCUAUAUUAUCUAAAUAUUAAUAAUAGUUGAUAUGUAUGAAAAAAAUGCUUUACUGCCAAAGGAGAUUUGCCCCGCAAUUCAUCCCAUGCAAUAGAACAUACGAGUCAUCUAGCACGAUCACAAGAGAAAGGUAAAAUAUUUUAGUUAAAGGUGAGAAGCACUUAUUUACUAUUGCUUAAAUACACCUGAAAUUUUGACUUCCCCUACGUAUAAAUUUUAAUCCCCCUUCCCUGACGGCUGACGUGUUACAAUAUUUAUAUAAUAUAUAAAAAGUUUGAGAACCUAAAUGAAAAAUGUGAAACAAAUCGAAUUAUGCAAGGCACAAGUAAGUCGUAACCAUACGUGAUACGUCAAAAUCUAUUUAUAUACAAGUCUGAAUUCCCUCACACACACACAAUCACCCGCCAAGAAACAGUUUUUUCUGAAGCUCUUACAUUCUUGAGGUAUCGAAAGAUGUAAAUAAGCGAGAGGUCAGAAAAUGUGUUGGGAGGCACGGGGAACCAGAGGAGCUUGUUGAAGGAGGGAAGCUCACUAUCAACAGAGCAGAGGAAGAAGGAGUGAGAGAAGAGAGUGUGUGUCUGAUUUAGAAGGUGAGGAGACAAAAGAGUUUAUAGAUUUAGGUUUUGUAUCCACAAAAGAAGACUUGAACGCGGAGUUGCCGGAGAUUCUUCCCGGACAUAUAUGGGAACAUUUCCCCACUGGGAAGAAGAGAGUAUAUUUGUUGGAAGCAUGGGAGUUUCAAAGUGAUAAACGGAGUGGAAGAUCAGAGAAAGAUUCAAUGGAUAUAGAUUUGAGAAUGACUUAAGUUAUGUGGUGACACGAACAUUAAGGAUAUUAGUAUUGUUUUUACUUAAGGAUAUUACAUUAAGGAUAUCUCAGAUGACAUCCAAUUUAUUUUACUUAUUCUUCAGUAACAUUUGUAUCUAUAUUACUAUUGUUUUUCCUUUUUCUAUGUAAAAAAUCUGAGAUUAGUGCUUUCAGAUCUGGAGCCAAAAAAUUAAGCCCACAAGAAGGACUUGUGCAGUUGUGCUUAAUCUCACUGUCUCUAAUUCACUUGUUCGAACAAGAAGAACUUGCAAGAAAUGUGAAACACACACUUUUUCUGUGGUCAAGUACACUCAUUUUAAUAUGAGCUCAUUCUCCGAACCAGAUCUUUCUCUCACCGGGAAACUUUUUACCACAAAGUCACGGACGACAACAGUUACUUCAAGCUGAAAAAAAAUUCUCCGUUGCCGGGACUCGAACCCGGGUCUCUCGGGUGAGAGCCGAGUAUCCUGACCAGCUAGACUACAACGGAUUGAUGCUUAUCGUUACCCUUAAUAUUUCAAAUCUUAAACAUCAAAGCUUGCGUCACAAAUCAUUGUCGGGUCAAAAAAUAACUAAAUAGAAGGGAUAAAAAGUGUAACGGUGCUUCUUCGCGGCCAUUGUUAACAGCUCAUGUCAAUUCGAAUUCGAUUUGGGCUGUUAGAGCAUCAUUAUCCCUUAGAGACACUUAGGAGUUCUUAAGCUUUUUUUAAUAAUUUUUAGUUAGAAAAGUGAGUUUAAGAGACUUUGUUAAGAGAUGAUAUAUUUGUGUGGUCCAUUGCAAGUUUCUUAUUUAAGGGUUCUUAAAAAAAUAAACAUUUUUUAUUAAACUUCAAAUUUAUUGAUAAAAUUAUUAAACAUAACAUUAUAAACAUAGAUUU